UCAUCAUGUCUGUGAUCACAUCUCGUCCCAUCACCACCCGAGGGAAUCCACUCAGUACCAGACCGGCUUUGUUUAACUCCUGCAAACAAUGUGGUGUUCAAGCAUGGGUGAGAUGAUCAUGGAGCCGCUGUGAUGUUGACCAGCCAUGGAGUGAAGCCGUGAUCAUGUGCAAGGCUGAGGCUCCGACAAAAGGCCUUGGGAAACUUCUCAUCUUUUCCUGGAGUGCUGGUGUGAAGAUUUUGGGCAAACAUUGGAGACUCGAACAGUGUCGUCGCUGUCAACUGCGUCUCAAGUCCACUGACGUACGCUGCGAGCCACUGGACAUACUGAUAACAGCAGGAAAGCCAUCCACAUGGAGAGAGAAUAGUGAUCUACAUCUCGGAUGGCCUUAAGGCGUGUUCAGGGAGAAAACCACACGCGCUGGUUUCUAAUGGGAGUCUUCCUGGCGAGCUGCAGCUCAUGAAACAUGGAAACGUGGUUGAAGCUCCAAAAUCCAAAAGCUACAAUGCAUCUCUCUGAAAGCAGACGGAGCCAAUACGCUCUCCUCGGCAAGUGCCAUGUUUGUUUUAUUUCAUGAUUUUAUUUUCCUUGCCUAUAACUCCCCCCGCCUGCUUUUCGGACUAUUGAAUGCU